GUGGGGAAUAUUGGACAAUGGGCGAAAGCCUGAUCCAGCCAUGCCGCGUGAGUGAUGAAGGCCCUAGGGUUGUAAAGCUCUUUCACCGGGGAAGAUAAUGACGGUACCCGGAGAAGAAGCCCCGGCUAACUUCGUGCCAGCAGCCGCGGUAAUACGAAGGGGGCUAGCGUUGUUCGGAAUUACUGGGCGUAAAGCGCACGUAGGCGGAUCAGUCAGUUAGGGGUGAAAUCCCAGGGCUCAACCCUGGAACUGCCUUUAAUACUGCUGAUCUAGAGUUCGAGAGAGGUGAGUGGAAUUCCGAGUGUAGAGGUGAAAUUCGUAGAUAUUCGGAGGAACACCAGUGGCGAAGGCGGCUCACUGGCUCGAUACUGACGCUGAGGUGCGAAAGCGUGGGGAGCAAACAGGAUUAGAAACCCGGGUAGUCC
rnacentral:rRNA from 1 species